rnacentral:lncRNA from 10 species
CACUGGAUGAUCAAAGCAGGUGUUCUACUAGAGAGAAGAUAAAAAUGUGGAUUGUGUGCAGCAUUCGGCAGGGACAGAGGACACUAAUAUCAAUGCCAAGGAAGUCACUGCAGGAACAAUGAUCUGAGGAGACCCAACAGUUUUAAGAAACACUGCCAGAUUGAACUGAAAGAGGGAGAGAAAAUACAAAAUGAAAGAAGACUGCCUGGCCUUCUUUCUAUAGUCGUGAAACAGACUGAUAAAACUAUGCAGCUACAAACAUGUUCUACUUGUGAAAAAGAAGAAUGACUGAGGACACAGCCUCAAAUCCAGAGGGUGAAGCCUAGUGCCACAGAGGACUAUUCCUAGACAUUGAAACCAAAUGGAGUGUGCCCAGCUAGUAAAAAUUACUAAGUUUCUUGAAACCUGUGAAUUCUGAUUUCAGUUUUUAUUUUCCUGAUAAUUAAUGAGGUUGACCAUCUUUUUAUAGGUAUAUUUGAGACUUUUGGAAAGGGCCUGCUUACAAGACAUAAUUUUAUUGGGUUUUCUGUCUUUUUAUUAUUUGUAGAAGUUAUUUAUCUAUUUUGCCUAUGAAUCCAUUGCAAACUACAUGUAUUUUAUAUUGCUAAAAGAUUUUCCCACUCUGACUGCCUUUUAUUUUUUGAUAAAUGUGAGUUACUAAUAUUAUUGUAAUCCAAUUUAUGAGUCUUUAUAGUAAUACUUUUGUACUCUUUUAAAGAAAUCUUUUACUAUCCUAAGUUCAUGAAGAUAUUUCUCUAUAUUCUAUAAGCUUUUUUUUGCCUUUCAUACUUAAUCUUUUUAUAUAGUGAAACAGUAGGAGUCAAGAUUCAUUUUUAUGUAACUAUCUACUUGAUCUAGCACUACUUUUUGAAAAGAUCAUGUUUUCCCCCACUGUCACUUUGUGAUAAUUAUGUAACAACAAAUAUAAGCCUCUUUAUAUCAUCUCUGACCUGUUUUAUCUCUAUUCUGGUUUGUCUCACCUCCUGCAAAUAACAUAACGUUUUAAUUGUGGUUGCUUUAUAAUA